rnacentral:rRNA from 1 species
GAUGAACGCUGGCGGCGUGCUUAACACAUGCAAGUCGAACGGAAAGGCCCAAGCUUGCUUGGGUACUCGAGUGGCGAACGGGUGAGUAACACGUGGGUGAUCUGCCCUGCACUUCGGGAUAAGCCUGGGAAACUGGGUCUAAUACCGGAUAGGACGAUGGUUUGGAUGCCAUUGUGGAAAGUUUUUUCGGUGUGGGAUGAGCUCGCGGCCUAUCAGCUUGUUGGUGGGGUAAUGGCCUACCAAGGCGUCGACGGGUAGCCGGCCGGAGAGGGUGUACGGCCACAUUGGGACCGAGAUACGGCCCAGACUCCUACGGGGGGCAGCAGUGGGGAAUAUUGCACAAUGGGCGCAAGCCUGAUGCAGCGACGCCGCGUGGGGGAUGACGGCCUUCGGGUUGUAAACUCCUUUCGCUAGGGACGAAGCGUUUUUGUGACGGUACCUGGAGAAGAAGCACCGGCUAACUACGUG